rnacentral:rRNA from 1 species
GGACCCGCACAAGCGGUGGAUGAUGUGGAUUAAUUCGAUGCAACGCGAAAAACCUUACCUACCCUUGACAUGCUCGGAAUCUCGCAGAGAUGCGAGAGUGCCCGAAAGGGAACCGAGACACAGGUGCUGCAUGGCUGUCGUCAGCUCGUGUCGUGAGAUGUUGGGUUAAGUCCCGCAACGAGCGCAACCCUUGUCACUAGUUGCUACGAAAGGGCACUCUAGUGAGACUGCCGGUGACAAACCGGAGGAAGGUGGGGAUGACGUCAAGUCCUCAUGGCCCUUAUGGGUAGGGCUUCACACGUCAUACAAUGGCCGGUACAAAGGGCUGCCAACCCGCGAGGGGGAGCCAAUCCCAGAAAACCGGUCGUAGUCCGGAUUGCAGUCUGCAACUCGACUGCAUGAAGUCGGAAUCGCUAGUAAUCGCGGAUCAGCAUGUCGCGGUGAAUACGUUCCCGGGUCUU